rnacentral:lncRNA from 1 species
GUGGGCGCAGAGAAGUCCUUCUCCACUUGAAACUAUUUUAAGUUGGAUAAAGAUCAAAUUUAAAUUAAUCCAAUCCCAUCAGGUCAAAGGCAACUGAUCUAGAUUAGCUCAAACAUUUUGAUCUAAACUAAUUUAGGAACUUGGGUUAAUAAAAUGUGCUAGCAUAUCAAAUUAACCCAUAGAAUUUUUAUUAAACUCUAAUUAGACCAGAUCAAGACUAGAUCUCAAAGUGUGUGAUCCAUUGGGUUCCAAAUCUAGUCAGCAGUGGACCAAAACUUUCAAUGUAAUCCUAAUCCGAUGAGAUUAGGUCACCCAAAGAGUUUCAAUCAACUUGGACUCUUCCAAAUUAAUUUUAAAAUUAAAUACUUUUAAUUCUGAUAAAUUCAUAAAUCAAGAUUUACGUCUAGCAAUGUGUCAUGACUAUCUGAAAGAUUUUAAAAUUUUGAUGAAAAAUUAUCAAAAUAUCUUUCAGUGGUAAGUUAUCGUGUAAUUUAAUCCGUUAGUCAAACAACAUUCCAGAUGAGUUGUGGGCAUGAAAAUAUAUCAAACCUAAUUACUUAUCUUUAUGUAUCUCGAUCUAAAAAGGAUAAUUCAGUUGAUGAUAUAUUAGAAACUUUUUUUUAAUUAUCAUUCUACUUUGGUCAAAGACUUUCGAAUCAUCGACCUAUGAGGUCACAUAGGAUGUUCGCUCUCCUUAUUAAGAGUGACUGAUCCCUUAUUGAUUACUCACAACCUCCAUACACUCUUCACCAUAUUCAGAACAUCCCAUAUAAGGAUCAAAGAAACCAAAUUAGAAAGUGGAUCAAAAUAUGAAUCCAAGUACACAAGGUACCAUGGUAAUCUCAGGUCAAAAGAUCAUUUACACAACUCCCACUAAAGAAACAUCAGUUAACAUAUAAAUAAGACUCUAUCUGAUAUUCUCUCGUAGAUCGAUGCAAUGAACUCAUUCUCUAAUCAGCAUCCAUAUCUUUGUAUUAGUAUUACUACAUAAGUGAUUGUGAGAUUAACCAUCCUCAUUUUUAAGCAUACAUAACACAUGCCUGUCUUAUCGGUAUCAUUAAUCUCCGA